CACCCAACUUAGGCAACUGCAG
rnacentral:miRNA from 1 species